CUGUUCAUUAGGAAUUGAGAGGAAGUCCUUUGCUUUGCGUAGUCAGUUCCCCUCUCUCUUAACAAGUCAACUAUAGGAAAAGAAUAGUGGUCACUGUGGAAUCAUGACAUACACUGCAUGAAGUUAAGAUAAAACUAUCUGGAAAGCCAAAGCGAAAAGAUGCCCGGAUCCCAAAUCAUCCCUCCCCCGUGGAAACCUACAUCCAGGCUACUAGAGGGCACCACCCACUCCAAGCACCCUCCUGGAAAUCUCUACACCCUAUGCGGCGUAUCUCUUGUUGGUUUCCUUGACUUCCCUGCCCGGUACCUUCAUCUGCUGUCUGUAAUUUGGAAGCUUGAUUGCCAGCCCCUGUCUGUAAACUUGGAAGACGCAGUGUGUUUCUUUGCUAUCUCUGCUCUGCCUUCAACGGCCUGGGACUUUACGACUUUAAUGGAAAACCAAAUAAAAUGUACUCAUCAACUUUCCCUGAGGCUUAACCCACAACUAGUACCUAGUCGUUGAUAGCUGCGGCUUUCCUUGAGGCCUACCUGGCUGAGAUGUCAACCGCCCAACUUGGUCCCCAAGAU